AUGACACCCUCUCCCGACCCGAGUCACAGCGGACGAGGCCAGCAGUGGGGAAAAUAUGGUACCUACCCACUCCCGCCACGACCGCAGUACACGCAGCACUUUGUAGGCAUUCCUAUCCUGGCUCUUCAGGUUGCAGCGGUUGGCAAAGGUCUGGCCGCAGGUGUCGCAGCGGUGCACCACCUCGGUGGCCACGCCGUGGUGGAGCCGCACGUGCUUCAGGAAGCUCUUCUCGUACAAGAAGGCCUUCUCACAGCGCGUACACUGGAAGUUGCUCCUCCGCCGACCCGGGCCCUCUUCUCCCUCCUCCUCCUCGUCCCCCUCCUCACCUCGCCCCACUUUGGGCGGCGCGGCCUCCGCCCCUGCCCCAGCCUCGCUGUCCUCCUCGUCCUUCGUGAUUGCUUCUUUCUCGGUUUCCAGGGCUUCUGGGCUGGGCUCCCGGGGGCCCCCGCAGCCCCCCACGUCCUGCUCAGCACUCUUCUGCUGCUCCCGGAGUCGGCGCGUGUACUUCUUUUUAGGGAUUUCCACGAACACCUUCCUCCCGGCCAGCCGCCCACUGGCCCUUCUGAGCUUGGGGUAGGGGGGCUUAGCCACCUCUUUCCUCUUGUCUGGCUUCUCCCUGGACUUCCUCGGGGUCAGAUCUGGCAACAGACCAUUGCUGAUUCUCUCUGCUGGGGGAUCCAAAGAACUGGCAACCCCAUUGGCCAGAGGGCCAUCAGUGGCCACCCCUGCCCAGGCCUCAGGGGCGAGAGCAGCUGUAACCUGGGCGCCGCUGCUCCCUUCUGCCUCCUGAGACUCUGAGAAAUUCUGCAACUCCAAAAGUACCGACUCUAACAUCUGCUUCUUCAGCUGAAAACAAGUUUCGGAUAAGUCCAAACACUUCAGCUUUUCCGCCAUUUCCAGCAUGCGCUGUACCCGGUCUUCCUCGACCUGUACCUUGGCCGUGUAGACAAACUCAAGAAAGGAAGCAAAGUCGGCUACCUGCACUUCGUCUAAGUAGACGUUAGUCCUGGCACCAUCCACAGUCUUCUCGUUAAGGAACACUUCCUUAAAAAACUUGCUGGUGGCUGCCAGCACUGCCUUGUGGGCCAUGAAUUCCUCCCGGACGCCCUGGUAUUCCACGCUGACGGUCACGUCACACAGGUGACCCAGCAGGCGGAGCUGGUGCAUCUCAUGCAGGAGGUUGAUUGGGGAGGACUUGGAUUCUAGCAGGACCGCACCACUCUCCAUGUUUCUUCUUCCCAGAAACACCUUUGAACACAAACCAAGAAUUAUUCAUGCACAGCAACCUCCGAAGCAGAAGGAAUAAGAACUGUGAGGAUUACAUAUCAGUUCUUUAGAGGAUAUAAACUGAUGAACGACCUAAAAAACCUAACUUUUCUCCCGUACACUUUCAAGUCACACAUCACAUCUUAGCAUUUUUUCUGAAGUCCCAGUGUACCUCCAGAGACAUUUGUAUGAAAAAAGACUAAGGCUGCCCUAAAGAUAUUAUUAAUGAAGUAUGUUAAAGCAACAAUUUGCUUCUUGAGGUGAUUCUGUUAUUUGCCUGCAGACCCAGACCUUGUAAACAGAAUUUAAAGCAACAAUAAAUAAGCUGUGCUGCGUUGAUCAGGAGGAGGAAAUGGCAACUCACUCCAGUAUUCUCGCCUGGGAAAUCCCAUGGACUAGGGAGCCUGGCCGGCUAGAGUCCCCGGGGUUGCAAGAGUCGGACACACGACUUAGCGACCAAAACACAAACGCUUUGAUCUGGAAACCAGAUAAAAUACAUGGCCACCACGGUUAGGAAAGCAAACCCUGUCUGACUUUGGAAACAACCGAUUGAAGAAAAUAUCUACUUUCUACGAAGAAAACUUCCUGGAAAGUAGCGGACAAUCCAUGGCAUCUCCACCCCCGGACGCCCGUCCUACUGCACUGGGGCGACCGGGGGCACAGCGCUGGGGUCCAGUUGCGCUACCUGGAGCAGGGCCCUCAGUCCCUCCAGCCACAGAGGCUCCUGGGCUGGAGGCUGGACAGGCCGCCGUUGGAGUGGCAGCC
rnacentral:lncRNA from 1 species